rnacentral:lncRNA from 1 species
GGUUGGUUUGCUUACAUAGGCUGCCGCGGCGUUAGAGCCACGUCAAUCUAAUGGCCUCCUUGCUGAAUUAAUUGAAUACUCUAAACCCAGAGGCCUGUGAGUGAUGGAAACAAGCGGUGACAUUGCCUGACUUCGCCAAGUAGAGCUCUCGCAAAUAAUGCUGGCAGACUCUGGGACCAUAUAAAUAGAAACUGUUAUUUGAGAAGCAGCAGAGUCUUUCCUGCUAUAACAACCACUGGAGGGUGCUUGCUGAGCAUCUAAUCUGAGAAGAUGACCUCACCCGAGCCAGCUCACCAAGUCUUCUCAUGAUCCUUCAAAAGAUUGCACAAUGGCAAUGAGAGCCCAACGGGGAUGACACACGACCAGCCCACUUCCCUGAACAUACCUGGGGCUUGUGAUCCAGCCACCUGGACUGAUAACACAACAUUUGGGGGCUUGUUAGGAAACUAUGCGGUUGCUUAAUUGCGACUAAGGAACCAAAGCCAGGCUUCUGUUUAUGAUUGGCAGCGUGGUCUCAAGGCAUCCGUCCUGAGUCAGACAACUUCAGAAGAUGCCCCCUCCCCGCCUUUCCAACGUCCCUCUGACUCAAAGCUCUGGAGGGUGGUCCCACUGGGUGGGGCUGGGGGGCGGAGGUGUUCUUCAAGACGCUGCUUGUGGGAUUGCUUUUUGGCAGGAAGAUCACAGAGUCGAAUACAAUGAAACUCUGUCCGGAGAGCUAGCCUCUCAGGGGCUGUUGCUGCUCUCUCUUGGCUGGCAGAGUUUGAGAAUCCAUUACAUGUGAUGAAAGGUCUAAACAGAGCCAGGAUUUUAUUCCUGCCUACAAGACCCCUGGAGAUGCUGCAUUUCCAAAGAAACGGCUUAUUUCAUAAGACUCUGAGAAAGUGGGCUCUGGGCUUCUAAUAAGAGGAGGAAAUAUUCUAUUCUUUUAAAAUUAUGUUUGAAUCAUUGUAGUUUAACUAGAUAUUUUCCAUUGGAAAUGAUUCCCUUUGCAUCUUUCCGCCGCAGGACCACAGGCUAACAGAUGUGUUUCAGUGAAAUGCACCCAGCACGAAGCCUGGAACACAGUAGGCGCUCAUUAAGCGCUUUCUUCCAUCUGCC